rnacentral:rRNA from 1 species
CCUACGGGUGACUGCAGUGGGGAAUAUUGGGCAAUGGGCGCAACCCUGACCCAGCAACGCCGCGUGAAGGAAGAAGGCUUUCGGGUUGUAAACUUCUUUUCUGAGGGACGAAGUAAGUGACGGUACCUCAGGAAUAAGCCACUGCUAACUACGUGCCAGCAGCCGCGGUAAUACGUAGGUGGCAAGCGUUAUCCGGAUUUAUUGGGUGUAAAGGGCGUGUAGGCGGGAAAGCAAGUCAGAUGUGAAAACUCAGGGCUCAACCCUGAGCCUGCAUUUGAAACUGUUUAUCUUGAGUGCUGGAGAGGCAAUCGGAAUUCCGUGUGUAGCGGUGAAAUGCGUAGAUAUACGGAGGAACACCAGUGGCGAAGGCGGAUUGCUGGACAGUAACUGACGCUGAGGCGCGAAAGCGUGGGGAGCAAACAGGAUUAGAUACCCCUGUAGUC